UUUUGUCCAAUCAAAUAACAGGAAUCAAAGAGUCUGACACUGGUUUAGCUGCACCCAGCCAAUGGGAUUUAGUUUCUGACAAGCAAAUGAUGCAAGAAGAGCAACCUCUUCAGGUUGCAAGGUGUACAAAGAUUAUUAAUCCGAACACUGAAGAUGCCAAAUAUGUGAUAAAUGUAAAGCAAAUAGCCAAGUUUGUGGUUGGCUUGGGUGAUAAAGUCUCACCAACUGAUAUAUGAUACUUAUCCAAUAUGGACACAACAUUCAGUUUGGAAUAUUCAUCUUAGUAGUUUAUCUGUAAAUAAAGUUUACUGUUUGACUUUUUUUAGUUUUAUAAUUCGGUAGAAAAUACUUAACCUCACUC